CUAUUUUAUUACGUCAGGCAUUUUUUAAAUUCCUGUUUGCAGACAUUGACUUAUUAACCAGAGUCACAUACACAGUGGCCCCAAACGUUUUUGGACAUGACACUGGACUCUCACUGAGGCCUGAAACUUGAAGGAUGGAAGGAAUUCGCAGUGAGACGUCGCCCCUAGAGAGCCUCUGUGUGUGUUGAGAGAAUAAAACCACUAAACUAUCAACAAUUACAGGACAAAGAUCUCGUGUUUCACCGGCGGAGUGACAGUGUGUCCGACUCUGCGGCAGCUGCUCUUCUGCGCUACCAGAGAGUCAUUAAUACACCACUCACACACACC
rnacentral:lncRNA from 1 species